UACGGAGGGUGCAAGCGUUAUCCGGAUUUACUGGGUUUAAAGGGUGUGUAGGCGGGCUUUUAAGUCAGUGGUGAAAUCUCCGGGCUCAACCUGGAAACUGCCAUUGAUACUAUUAGUCUUGAAUUUUGUUGAGGUAGGCGGAAUAAGUCAUGUAGCGGUGAAAUGCAUAGAUAUGACUUAGAACACCAAUUGCGAAGGCAGCUUGCUAAACAAAUAUUGACGGCUGAGGUGACGAAAGCGUGGGGAGCAAACAGG
rnacentral:rRNA from 1 species